rnacentral:snRNA from 1 species
AUGCUUGCUUUGGCAGCACACAUGCUAAAAUUGGAAUGAUACAGAGAAGAUUAGCAUGGCCCCUGCACAAGGAUAAUACACAAAUUUGUGAAGCAUUCCAUAUUAAA